GUCCAGGAGAAAUGGGAGCUGAUGGCCCUGUUGGCCCACCAGGCCCACAAGGUCCAAGUGGCAAAUCUGGGCCUCAGGGAAGGGAUGGACCGAAAGGUCAGAAGGGAAAUGAUGGUCUAGAUGGACCUCCUGGAAAACCUGGGCAUGCUGGGAAGAGAGGGAAAAAGGGAAAAGCUGGUCAGAGGGAUCUCAGAGGACCUAGAGGGGAGAAGGGCCAACAGGGAGCAAUGGGAAAGACUGGACCUCCUGGCAGACCAGGACAAUAUGGUUUACCAGGUAUUCGAGGCGAGAAAGGAGAGAGCGGUGAAAAAGGCUUUGAGGGAGAGAACGGGGAACUUGGGCCACUUGGUCCUCCAGGGGGAGAUGGACUGAAGGGGGAGCAGGGCCUAACCGGGGAAAAAGGGAGACAGGGGCUGAAGGGAGAGCAGGUGAUAUACAGUAUUUAGAUGUGCAUGUAAAUGUACAAUGAG
rnacentral:lncRNA from 1 species